UACGUAGGGUGCAAGCGUUGUCCGGAAUUAUUGGGCGUAAAGAGCGUGUAGGCGGCCCGAUUAGUCCGCUGUGAAAGUCGGGGGCUCAACCCUCGAAUGCCGGUGGAUACUGUCGGGCUAGAGUGCGGGAGAGGCGAGUGGAAUUCCUGGUGUAGCGGUGGAAUGCGCAGAUAUCAGGAGGAACACCAAUAGCGAAGGCAGCUCGCUGGGACGUUACUGACACUGAGGCGCGAAAGCGUGGGGAGCGAACAGG
rnacentral:rRNA from 1 species